AUUUCAAUGCUACACUCACGGUGGAUUUAGGGGGAGAUAUUAUGAGGCUGGUGUCAUUAGGCGAUAGCUAUUGAAUCAUUCAAUCCGAAUUCGUCGUUCUUUUUUCCUUGGCAAAUUUCAUUCUCUCUCAGGUCAUUUCCAUGGUUUUCAGAUCGCCUUUAGAGCUUUAUCCCUCUCAUUUCUUCCUGCCAAACUUUGCUGAUCGCCCUUUGCUCUUGGCGAGCAGUGCGCCCAGCACCAGGUCUCCCGAAGACUUGUCAAUGUUUCAGCUACCGACCCUAAACUUCUCUCCAGAGCAAGUGGCGAGCGUCUGCGAGACGCUGGAGGAGACCGGGGACAUCGAGCGGCUGGGUCGCUUCCUAUGGUCGCUUCCAGUGGCGCCGGGUGCUUGCGAGGCGAUCAACAAGCAUGAAUCCAUCCUUCGUGCCCGGGCUGUGGUUGCCUUCCACACAGGCAAUUUUCGCGAUCUCUACCACAUUUUGGAGAACCACAAGUUUACCAAGGACUCGCAUGGUAAAUUACAAGCGAUGUGGCUAGAGGCUCACUAUCAGGAGGCCGAGAAACUACGCGGGCGUCCCCUAGGACCGGUUGAUAAGUACAGGGUGCGAAAGAAGUUUCCCCUGCCUAGAACCAUCUGGGACGGUGAGCAGAAGACGCAUUGUUUCAAAGAGCGAACGCGGAGUCUGUUGCGGGAGUGGUACCUUCAGGACCCCUAUCCAAACCCCAGCAAGAAAAGGGAACUGGCUCAAGCCACUGGACUCACUCCUACACAGGUCGGAAAUUGGUUUAAAAACCGGAGACAACGAGACAGGGCAGCGGCAGCAAAAAACAGGCUCCAGCAUCAAGCAAUAGGGCAGAAUGGCAUGCGGUCCCUUUCAGAAUCCGGCUGCACUCCACGCAGUUCGGCGGAGUCGCCAUCAACUGCAGCUAGUCCAACGACCAGUGUUUCGAGUAUGACAGAGCGAGUCGACACGGGCACGUCGAUUCUUUCAGUAACAUCAAGUGACUCGGAAUGCGACGUAUGAUACGCAAACAUAGAAAUAUAUACAGGAAAAUGGACCUGAAUAAACUUUAUUAAUUAUCGGGGAAGAUGAAAAAGGACCAAUUGAUAUUACUAUUAUAAAAGGAAAAAAAAAAAAAACAUAAAAGCACGUGUUUUUCAAGCGCUUUCAAUGGACCCCACACCUUUCCCCCACCCCAUCACUUGCAUGAUAUAUAUAUAUAACUAAAUAUAUUUUUUUUCUUUUAUUUUUUUUGUAUAUGGGGAAAUGCCCCACGUUUAUUAUGUCUACCAGGACCACCGUGAAGAGGGAAUUACCAGAAACCGGUGUCCAUCGCCUUUUUUUCUGUUUUAGUCCGAGUGACGACGAGCAGCCAGGAUGCAAUCCUCUUUUCCUUUAUGUUCAUCAGACAAUCAUUUGAGUCUUCUCAAUGAGCGUCAGUUCCCUCUGACCCGGAUUGAAAGCUUGGAGCCUCGGCAUAGCCUGUCAGUGCAACCACUCUUGGCAAGACUGGGCCUUUCCCCUCCCGAAACAGUCCCCUUCUCACAAAUAAGCACAGGACAAGACCUUGAGCUGCUCCUGAAGCUGCUCCUGCUCCUGACAUAGGCCUUCUCACAUCUCUAAGUUAAGAUGUGCAGCUUUGGUUGAGCCUCUCUCCACUUCAUGCCCUCACCGGGAGAUGAUGCUGAACAAGCACACUGUGAACACAUCAAUAAUUAAUCGUAUGUAAGUCAAAUGAUGUUUGAACACUGAACUGGAUUUCCAUUUGUGCUAGAUCACAGAGUUAGAUGGCUCGGAAUGUAAUGGAAUCCGGACUCCCUUGUUAAAUUUUUACCACUGAUACCCUGAAUUUCUAAGGACCGAAUGUAAAAAUCGAAGGGCUUCGCUGGAGCGCAGCCUUUCUAAGUUAAACUACAGUGUAAGAGUUGGCGAACCAUUCUAAUAAUGGACAGUAAAACACACUCUUAACUACAGGACCGUUUCUUGGAUUCCCGGCAGGGCUUUAAAAGAUUGCAUUGCACUCUCUCUUUUUUUAAAAAUAAAUUAAAAAAGUUAUUUAAAAGGAUAGUUCACCCAAAAAUGAAAAUUCUAUCAUCAUUUACUCACCCUCAAGUUGUUCCAAACCAGCAUGAAUUUCUUUCUUCUGCUGAACACAAAAGAAGACAUUUUUGAAAAAUGUCGAAAACUAGUUGGUAGGCCACAUUGACUUCCAUUGUUUGUUUGUUUUUUGUUUUUUUUCCGUACUAUGGAAGUCAGUUAAAAUAUUUUCAAAAUAUUUGUGUGUGUGUGUUCAGCAGAAGAAAGAAAUUCAUACAGGUUUG